UUCCUUGUUUUCUGCCGUAAAAUAGUCGACUUCGGCGGCAGCCGAAGUGUGGACUUUUGACCCUCUUAAACAAACAAAUAAUUUUGACGCCAAGAAGAAUCGCGCCGAAGUGUGGACUUUUGGACUCUUGUAAAACAAAGAAUAUGUGACGUCAAGAAGAAUCCCGCCGAAGUCGUCGAAAUUUACGGGAAAGAAAGAUUGAACUCUACCUUGGUAUUGCCUCCCGGUAGCCGGUCGGUUUGAUAGGGUAGGAUUCAACAUGUCUAAAGGAAGAUGCUUUAUCCAAAAUGCGAUUCCGUGGUUUUAAAUUUAAAUUAUUAUUAGAAUUACGUCAUUGACGUAUUGUUGCGUAAUACCGAAAUGCAUUGGGUGCGCAUUUACCAGGAGAGUUCGCGGAAAAAGCCUGGAGGCACAAUAAAAAUCUAGAUGAUUGUAAAGAAAAACAGAAAUAUAUAUUCGAAUCCAUGAAAGAUGUCAAUGUAAAAGUUAGAUAUCUCGAGAUAAAAUCAUUAUCAUUUCCCUGUUUAUCAAAAAGAUAAAUCAUUCGGAGUUGCUGGUGAGUUUUCAGUUAUAAUAAAAAAAAUUGAUCUUUUGACCAAGAAAAACAAAAAGCAGUAGUCUUCUUUAAAAAAGAAAAUCUUUGUGUGUUUUACCAACUUAAUUUUUUAGAUAUUAAUUUAAAAAAUCACAAGAUUCUCUUCGAAUAAAUCAAGAACAAGGAGUCCCCAACAAAUCCUUUGGUCCGGAACUCCUUUUGUGUUUUUUGGAAAAAAAUCUUUUUGGUACGAAGUUUUGUCCCAGCUGAUAACUAAACGGAUUGUUUGGGUGACGAAAACAACUAUCCGUCAUGUACUUGCUUGGAUUGGCGUAAAACCUUGUUGCCAUCCGUUAUUAGUGGCAAUGUCGCAGAUGUAUCCUGGAAAUCUUUAUCGUCGCGAUACACUUUAUCUCCUUUUUUCAUUUUGGAACAUGAAGUUGUUAGCAAGGAGGUUACUUUGGAAGAUAACCAAAUGUAGAACGAUCUUGUGUAGCCCGUAAUAUCCCCCGAGCCCGCGGGCCUUUGCCUCAUUACGGAGUUUCAUACCGCGCAGGUCUGGGCGCUAGCGAAGCGCUUGUAGGGACAAAUUUUUGGCUUGUUUUCAUUUGUCUCGAUAGCCCAAAUAAUUUUCAUGAUCAGUUUUUCACAACUAUUCUGGUUACUGCUGCGAAAAGAGGCAGAAAUGCAAAAUCCUGCCUGAUGUUUCUUCAACUAAUUUUUUACUUUAACUGACGUUUUGCUUUUUAAUAACACGUUUAAAUGGUGUUGCUAACCCUCUUUGUGGUAUAUUGACAUGGGUAAGAUGUUGGAAUAGAAGAAAACUUAAAUUACUGACUCUUAUAGAGAGGCAAGAGAAGACAUAUUGUUGAUGUUGGUUUUAGGGGUUAGCUUCCUGAAGUUUCAAGCUACAUAUACCAUACAUUUUGUGUUGUGAGGAAUAAAGUAAUGGUUAAAAAGAAACACUAUUCUAUCAUUAUCAGCGCACUUUUGUAAGAAGAAAUAAAAAUUACAGCUAGCUAUAAAAAGACUUAAAGGAAGUUUUUUUACAGUAAGCUAUAGCUAGCCUAGCUAUAUAUGGAUCUGCAAGUUUGACAUGGAUUAACGUGGAAGAGCAUUUAAUAAAGGAUUUAUUUGCAAAGUAUAGCUAACUAGUUAUAUAAAAAAGAGCACAGAUGAAAUCGACUGAAAAUAAAAUACACACUUCAAUGAUAUAAUGACUGGCUUUGACUUUUCGUUAAAAGUUAUUAUAUAUAAAUAUUACAUAACUAGCUAGAAAGGGAUAUAUAUAAUAGCAUGUUACACUGUAUUAAUGUGUUCUUAAUUUCGGUAAAAUGCAAGAAUAAAUUUAGGUAAGGUCCACUUUUGCAAUUUUGUGAUAGCUAUAGUAAUUUGGUACAUUGACAUAAGAAAAAUUUGGCACCCGAAAAUAUUUGACGAAAACAGUUAAAGUCACUAAAUUUGUUUAAAAUGUUGUUUUCCAUUAAAUUUGUUUAUUUUAACCACAGUAUGUUAUUUUAUUUUAUAUUUCGCAGCGGUUGAAACUUUGUACUUUACAGAUUAAAAUUAUUCCAAUGCAAAAUUGAGGCGUAGCAAUUUUAAAGGCUAAGUUGGUGUUUGAACUGCACUGUUAAGUUGAGUGAUAUUAGAAAUGAUCCUAUUUUUUAGCAUCUGGGCACUUACCCACCUAUAUAUCUGAUUACUGUAUGAGUAAGGCUACGAUAUAUAUAUGAGUGACCCAGUGUGACCCCUAGCUAACAAAAACUACAACGAGACAGAUACAGCCAGCUUUGUGACAAUUUUUAAUUUGGUUUAUAAAAAAUGUAGGUAGCUCCGCCCUGGUUAGUUAAAUAAAGUUUCUAGCAAACACAAAAUAAGAAAUUUUGGAAUUGUUUUUUAAUAUUAUAGCUAGCUAGGUAUCUUUUUAAUGGGCAUGAAUUAGUUUAGAAAAAAAAACAUUGUUUUCUUUACUUGUGUUUAAUGAGCUAUAUUAUU